GCCACACUGGAACUGAGACACGGUCCAGACUCCUACGGGAGGCAGCAGUGGGGAAUAUUGCACAAUGGGCGCAAGCCUGAUGCAGCCAUGCCGCGUGUAUGAAGAAGGCCUUCGGGUUGUAAAGUACUUUCAGUCGUGAGGAAGGUGGUGUAGUUAAUAGCUGCAUUAUUUGACGUUAGCGACAGAAGAAGCACCGGCUAACUCCGUGCCAGCAGCCGCGGUA
rnacentral:rRNA from 1 species